AUAUUUUAACUUAAAAUUCGCAAUGAAAUAGACUUGCAACAUGUCUUAGACUUGCAAAAUAUAGGAAGUCUUUUAUUUGUCUGAUAGUUUGUUAAUUCCAAGCUCUGUUUUAUUGAUUCUGAACAUUUGAAUAUGUACUUCAUUCUAAGGGUACCAACAAGAUUACCAAUGUUACUCCUGAAGAAAUGACAGGCAUUAUUGAAGUUAUAGGUGAAACUGAGAAGUUCUGGUCUUAGGAGAAUAUUCUGGGGUUCAACUGGUGAUCCGAGCAGAUAGGCAUGAAUAGAAUUCUGUGUCUCCAGAGACACAUUGAGAGUGGAAGCAUACUACUUUGUAUGUAGUACAAGCAAGAUGCUACCUACAUAGGACCGACAAUCAGUGCUGAAAUGCUAGCUUUUGGAUUCAGCAGCAUUAUUGACACUGCUGUUCAGCGAAAGGCACGAAAAGAGUAAAGCGAAGAUUUCUCAGCGAUAGACGCUGGUGGUGUAGAAGUUUAUGUACUGUAGUUCCAGUUUGAUCUACAAAAUAAGUUAGUACCAGAAUAUCUAAAUGUAUGCCACGUAGUUUCCAUUUAGUAUGUCUGGAGAGUAUGUAAUUAUGCAGCUGCAAGCAGUGCUAUCAUCAAUAAUGUAGCUCCAAGUAGUGGUAUAAUGUAUAAUGCAUGUAUUGUAUGUAUGCAUAACAUUAAUCAUGUUCGCUA